UUUCCGUAGGUGAACCUGCGGAAGGAUCAUUAACGGGUUAGGGUCUUCCAGGCCCGACCUCCCAACCCUAUGUUUAUUGAACCUCUGUUGCUUCGGCGGACCCGCCUCAUGGCCGCCGGAGGACCGCUGCAAGGCGUCCUCUGGCCAGCGUCCGCCGAUGGCCAACCACUUAAACUCUGAAUGAAUCGUGUCAUAUGUCUAAGUCUAUGAUUAAAUUAAAGCAAAACUUUCAACAACGGAUCUCUUGGUUCUG
rnacentral:misc_RNA from 1 species